AGAACAGUUAUGACAUUGAAAUACAAAAAAAAGCCCAACAAUUACAAAUCUUUCUCAUCGCAAUCAUCACCACCUUUAUGGCUUUGAUAACAUCAAAUAUCAUCAUUAGCAGUACAGUUGAAUUUGAAUCUGAACCAUUGACACCAUCAUCAACAGCCAUAAAAUUAUUAUCAAAAAUAAACAUCUACAGAUGCGGCAAUUGAUCAAGGUCAACAUAAUUCGAGUUAUAUUUUGAUCAAUCUUUCCAAAAGGGUUACAGUUCUCCUUUCAAGCUUCUUUUCACAGUACAUUUAUGCUUCCAAAAUUAAACAUUUAUUUCUCAAAAUCAUGUUCUUUAAAAUCAUCGAUUGGAAUCAAUUUGUCUGGUUAAGUUUCCGCAUUUAAUCUUGAUGGAUGUCUGUAAAUCACUUGAAAAGUUAUUUGCGAUCGCUUUUUACAAAGACAAGCAACUUUUUCGUCUUAUUGAUAAUAACCUUACCAACGACUACCAAGGAUAAUAUAUUUGUUUAACUGAAUUUUUAUGAUGAUUUCAGUGAAUAAUAUUAUAAUUUUCUUGUUCAAUCAUAAACCUGAUGUUCCAAUUCAGGACGUGAUUGGCUGUGAAAAUAACGUUUAUUUUACUACUAAUGGAUAAAAAUUUCAUUAACCGAUUGUGGCCUUUUGUUUUGUUUUGUAUUUUAACUGGAAAAUUACCGCAAAAUUUGUUAUAAUCAGACGAUUGAUUAACUUGCUAAAGACGGGUUAUAAUAUCUGGUUAACUAUUAUCUUGGAAUGACGUUCAGUAAAUCAAAGUAAAUCCUAGUAUUAAUGAUUAA